rnacentral:tRNA from 1 species
CAGCGCAUAGCUAAACUAGAUAAAGCACCUCCCUUACACUGAGAAGAUAUUCGUGCAAAUCGAAUUGCCCUGA